GAUGAACGCUGGCGGCGUGCCUAAUACAUGCAAGUCGAGCGAAUGGAUUAAGAGCUUGCUCUUAUGAAGUUAGCGGCGGACGGGUGAGUAACACGUGGGUAACCUGCCCAUAAGACUGGGAUAACUCCGGGAAACCGGGGCUAAUACCGGAUAACAUUUUGAACCGCAUGGUUCGAAAUUGAAAGGCGGCUUCGGCUGUCACUUAUGGAUGGACCCGCGUCGCAUUAGCUAGUUGGUGAGGUAACGGCUCACCAAGGCAACGAUGCGUAGCCGACGUGAGAGGGUGAUCGGCCACACUGGGACUGAGAAACGGCCCAGACUCCUACGGGAGGCAGCAGUAGGGAAUCUUCCGCAAUGGACGAAAGUCUGACGGAGCAACGCCGCGUGAGUGAUGAAGGCUUUCGGGUCGUAAAACUCUGUUGUUAGGGAAGAACAAGUGCUAGUUGAAUAAGCUGGCACCUUGACGGUACCUAACCAGAAAGCCACGGCUAACUACGUGCCAGCAGCCGCAGUAA
rnacentral:rRNA from 1 species